rnacentral:ncRNA from 2 species
UACCUUUGCGCCCGCCACGGUGACCAGACUCCUACCCACGGAGCGAGGUUGAAAAGGGAAUCCGGUUCAAUGCCGGAGCUGUCCCCGCAACUGUACGCGCUACAUCGGGGUGGGCACCCCACGCCACUGCUGGCUUUGAUUAUCGCUUGAUAACCAGGCUGGUGGGAAGGCCGCCCACCCGGCAGCGCAAGCCAGGAAACCUGCCAGGGCAAUUCACAGGUU